rnacentral:lncRNA from 1 species
UUGAUACUAAUUUGAUGUUAUAAAUGUUAUUGUUUUAUUAUAUAAAUUUGGUACAAUUUGAGAUGCUUUGACUUAUAAAAGUUAAAAUGACUUAUUAUUUGAGACGUAAUAAGUCUGUUUUUAAGUUAUAUUGGUAUGGAUAUGCCAAAUUUUAUUCUCGAGUGAUUGAAAAUGUUUUUCAAUUAGUUUCAUAUUUUUACUUAAGACGUGGUCACCAAAUAUCACUGAAUAGUGAAUAUACACAUACGUACAUGUUUUUCCAAUCUUUCACGUGCAUGGUACCUGCCCCUUGCGAAUAAUUUGCACCCAUAUCGCGGUAGGUAGACCGAACUCUGCUGCUUUAGAUGACUGCAAGUACAAGCUGCACCAAUCAGUUUACUCAUUUCACACACGAAAAGUAAUAAGGCCUUGUUCAGUUCCUAAAAUUUUUCAAAAAUUUUCAAGAUUUUCGGUCAUAUCGAAUCUUUAGACACAUACAUAAAGCAUUAAAUAAAAAUAAAAAUAAAAAUAAAAUCUAAUUGCAUAAUUUGUCUGUAAUUUACGAGACGAAUCUUUUAAACCUAGUUAGUCUAUAAUUAGAUAAAAUUUGUCAAAUACAAACGAAAAUGCUACAGUAACCAAAACCAAAAUUUUCUGCGAGGC